GACGAACGCUGGCGGCGUGCUUAACACAUGCAAGUCGAACGGAAAGGCCCUGCUUUUGUGGGGUGCUCGAGUGGCGAACGGGUGAGUAACACGUGAGUAACCUGCCCUUGACUUUGGGAUAACUUCAGGAAACUGGGGCUAAUACCGGAUAGGAGCUCCUGCUGCAUGGUGGGGGUUGGAAAGUUUCGGCGGUUGGGGAUGGACUCGCGGCUUAUCAGCUUGUUGGUGGGGUAGUGGCUUACCAAGGCUUUGACGGGUAGCCGGCCUGAGAGGGUGACCGGCCACAUUGGGACUGCGAUACGGCCCAGACUCCUACGGGAGGCAGCAGUGGGGAAUAUUGCACAAUGGGCCGAAGCCUGAUGCAGCAACGCCGCGUGCGGGAUGACGGCCUUCGGGUUGUAAACCGCUUUCGCCUGUGACGAAGCGUGAGUGACGGUAAUGGGUAAAGAAGCACCGGCUAACUACGUG
rnacentral:rRNA from 1 species